GUGGGGAAUAUUGGACAAUGGGCGAAAGCCUGAUCCAGCCAUGCCGCGUGUGUGAAGAAGGUCUUCGGAUUGUAAAGCACUUUAAGUUGGGAGGAAGGGCAGUAAGUUAAUACCUUGCUGUUUUGACGUUACCGACAGAAUAAGCACCGGCUAACUUCGUGCCAGCAGCCGCGGUAAUACGAAGGGUGCAAGCGUUAAUCGGAAUUACUGGGCGUAAAGCGCGCGUAGGUGGUUUUGUAAGUUGAAGGUGAAAUCCCCGGGCUCAACCUGGGAACUGCCUCCAAAACUGCAUGACUAGAGUACGGUAGAGGGUAGUGGAAUUUCCUGUGUAGCGGUGAAAUGCGUAGAUAUAGGAAGGAACACCAGUGGCGAAGGCGACUACCUGGACUGAUACUGACACUGAGGUGCGAAAGCGUGGGGAGCAAACAGGAUUAGAAACCCCUGUAGUCC
rnacentral:rRNA from 1 species